GUGCAAUGGCAUAAGCCAGCUUGACUGCGAGCGUGACGGCGCGAGCAGGUGCGAAAGCAGGUCAUAGUGAUCCGGUGGUUCUGAAUGGAAGGGCCAUCGCUCAACGGAUAAAAGGUACUCCGGGGAUAACAGGCUGAUACCGCCCAAGAGUUCAUAUCGACGGCGGUGUUUGGCACCUCGAUGUCGGCUCAUCACAUCCUGGGGCUGAAGUAGGUCCCAAGGGUAUGGCUGUUCGCCAUUUAAAGUGGUACGCGAGCUGGGUUUAGAACGUCGUGAGACAGUUCGGUCCCUAUCUGCCGUGGGCGCUGGAGAAUUGAGGGGGGCUGCUCCUAGUACGAGAGGACCGGAGUGGACGCAUCACUGGUGUUCGGGUUGUCAUGCCAAUGGCACUGCCCGGUAGCUAAAUGCGGAAGAGAUAAGUGCUGAAAGCAUCUAAGCACGAAACUUGCCCCGAGAUGAGUUCUCCCUGAGACUUUAAGUCUCCUGAAGGAACGUUGAAGACGACGACGUUGAUAGGUCGGGUGUGUAAGCGCAGCGAUGCGUUGAGCUAACCGAUACUAAUGAACCGUGAGGCUUAACCUU
rnacentral:rRNA from 1 species